rnacentral:rRNA from 1 species
AUACGGAAGGUCCGGGCGUUAUCCGGAUUUAUUGGGUUUAAAGGGAGCGCAGGCGGAGAUGCAAGCGUGACGUCAAAUUUCGGGGCUCGACCCCGUCUCGCGUCGCGAACUGCGUCCCUUGGUUGCGGGAAGGGGAGGCGGAACUCGUGGUGUAGCGGUGGAAUGCAUAGAUAUCACGAAGAACUCCGAUCGCGAAGGCAGCCUUCCGGCCCGUCAACGACGCUCAUGCUCGAAGGUGCGGGUAUCAAACAGGAUUAGAUACCCUGGUAGUCCGCACAGUAAACGAUGGACACCCGCGGUUUGGCCUGUAUGGCUGAGCCGCCAAGCGAAAGCGUUAAGUGUCCCACCUGGGGAGUACGCCGGCAACGGUGAAACUCAAAGGAAUUGACGGGG